GAUGAACGCUGGCGGCGUGCUUAACACAUGCAAGUCGAACGAUGAAGCCCAGCUUGCUGGGUGGAUUAGUGGCGAACGGGUGAGUAACACGUGAGUAACCUGCCCUUAACUCUGGGAUAAGCCUGGGAAACUAGGUCUAAUACCGGAUAGGAGCGCCUACCGCAUGGUGGGUGUUGGAAAGAUUUAUCGGUUUUGGAUGGACUCGCGGCCUAUCAGCUUGUUGGUGAGGUAAUGGCUCACCAAGGCGACGACGGGUAGCCGGCCUGAGAGGGUGACCGGCCACACUGGGACUGAGACACGGCCCAGACUCCUACGGGAGGCAGCAGUGGGGAAUAUUGCACAAUGGGCGCAAGCCUGAUGCAGCGACGCCGCGUGAGGGAUGACGGCCUUCGGGUUGUAAACCUCUUUCAGUAGGGAAGAAGCGAAUGUGACGGUACCUGCAGAAGAAGCACCGGCUAACUACGUG
rnacentral:rRNA from 1 species